rnacentral:rRNA from 1 species
CCCUUAGAUGUUCUGGGCCGCACGCGCGCUACACUGAUGCAUUCAACGAGUCUAAAACCUGCUCUGAUAGGGGUGGGUAAUCUUUUGAAUGUGCAUCGUGAUUGGGAUAGAUGAUUGCAAUUUUUCAUCUUCAACGAGGAAUGCCUAGUAAACGCAAGUCAUCAGCUUGCAUUGAUUACGUCCCUGCCCUUUGUACACACCGCCCGUCGCUCCUACCGAUUGAAUGAUCCGAUGAAUAUCAUGGAUUGAGGAUGCAAGCAGGUUCGCCUGUCUUCAUCUUCGAGAAGUGAAGUAAAUCUUAUCGUUUAGAGGAAGGAGAAGUCGUAACA